rnacentral:rRNA from 1 species
GGAAGGAUCAUUGUCGAAACCUGCACAGCAGAACGAUGAAGAACGUAGCGAAAUGCGAUACUUGGUGUGAAUUGCAGAAUCCCGUGAACCAUCGAGUCUUUGAACGCAAGUUGCGCCCGACGCCUUCGGGCUGAGGGCACGCCUGCCUGGGCGUCACGCAUCGCGUCGUCCCCUCCCAUUCCCUCACGGGUUUGGUUAUGGGACGGAUAAUGGCUUCCCGUUAGCUCGGUUAGCCCAAAAAGGAUCCCUCAUCGACGGAUGUCACAACCAGUGGUGGUUGAAAGAUCAUUGGUGCUGUUGUGCUUCACCCUGUCGCUUGCUAGGGCAUCGUCAUAAACUAACGGCGUGUAAUGCGCCUUCGACCGCGACCCCAGGCCAGACGGGACUACCCGCUGAG